rnacentral:tRNA from 1 species
GGUAGGGUAAGUUAAGAAAACUAGAGGGCUCAUGCCCCUUGAAUGCACGUAAAAGUGUCCCCUGCCC